rnacentral:lncRNA from 1 species
GCAGUCCGUGCAAAGAUUUGCAUAUGUGAGAACCACAACCGGUAUCCAAUACCCAUGAAUUAGAAUCAGAAGAACUUAAUGUCAUAUUGGCAUGUAAUAAAAACAUACCUUUUGAUGCAACACUUGCAUCAGGCUUCACACUUGCAAGAAAGCUCUUGCAGUUCCUUUUUCAAUGCCCCGUCUUGCCGCAGUGGAAACAGGUACCAGAUCCAGAGAUUUUCUUUUCCUUCUUCUUUUUGAUGCGACUCUUAGGGUUUAAUUUUUUCUUUGAACCCUUGUUGCCCGUUUUCUUCUUUGAGCUCUCACCAACAAGAAGGAUC